rnacentral:rRNA from 1 species
UGGGGAAUAUUGCACAAUGGGCGCAAGCCUGAUGCAGCCAUGCCGCGUGUGUGAAGAAGGCCUUCGGGUUGUAAAGCACUUUCAGCGAGGAGGAAGGUGGUGAACUUAAUACGUUCAUCAAUUGACGUUACUCGCAGAAGAAGCACCGGCUAACUCCGUGCCAGCAGCCGCGGUAAUACGGAGGGUGCAAGCGUUAAUCGGAAUUACUGGGCGUAAAGCGCACGCAGGCGGUUUGUUAAGUCAGAUGUGAAAUCCCCGAGCUCAACCUGGGAACUGCAUUUGAAAACUGGCAAGCUAGAGUCUCGUAGAGGGGGGUAGAAUUCCAGGUGUAGCGGUGAAAUGCGUAGAGAUCUGGAGGAAUACCGGUGGCGAAGGCGGCCCCCUGGACGAAGACUGACGCUCAGGUGCGAAAAGCGUGGGGAGCAAAACAGGAUUAGAUACCCUGGUAGUCCACGCUGUAAAACGAUGUCGAUUUUGGAGGUUGUGCCCCUUGAGGCGUGGCUUCCGGAGCUAACGCGUU